GAAAAUCUCUUGUCUCCAUCUAAAUUCUUGUAGCUCAACUACCAUUUUUUCUGCUAAAUCUCUGUUGAAAUAAUUGCUGUAUCUAAGAACAUUCUGAAGAUUUGGAUGUGAACACCUCACAAAAACAGAGCAUUUUUAAGAUGUGGAUAACUCAAAACUCAUGAGCAGCCAGAAAAAGAAAUUGGACAUUGAAAAAACAUCAUGUUUCAGGAAAAAAAUGUUCCAUAAACUUUUGCGCAAAAAGCAAACAGACAGAGCUAUCAACAUAUUGGAUAAAGAUUAAUUUGGAGGCAACAUCACAGCUGUGGAGUGCCAGGGGUGCAGUUUGUAAAGCCCAGAGAGCAUUUUUGACUGAGUGUAAGGAACAGGAUUAU